GUGCUACUCCCUCUGUUCGGAAUUACUUGUCUCAAAAAUGGAUGUAUGUAGAACUAAAAUAUAUCUAGAUACAUCUAUUUUCGCGACAAGUAAUUUCGAACGGAGGGAGUAGUUG
rnacentral:pre_miRNA from 1 species